AUUGAACGCUGGCGGCAGGCCUAACACAUGCAAGUCGAGCGGAUGAAGGGAGCUUGCUCCUGGAUUCAGCGGCGGACGGGUGAGUAAUGCCUAGGAAUCUGCCUGGUAGUGGGGGAUAACGUCCGGAAACGGGCGCUAAUACCGCAUACGUCCUGAGGGAGAAAGUGGGGGAUCUUCGGACCUCACGCUAUCAGAUGAGCCUAGGUCGGAUUAGCUAGUUGGUGGGGUAAAGGCCUACCAAGGCGACGAUCCGUAACUGGUCUGAGAGGAUGAUCAGUCACACUGGAACUGAGACACGGUCCAGACUCCUACGGGAGGCAGCAGUGGGGAAUUUUGGACAAUGGGCGAAAGCCUGAUCCAGCCAUGCCGCGUGUGUGAAGAAGGUCUUCGGAUUGUAAAGCACUUUAAGUUGGGAGGAAGGGCAGUAAGUUAAUACCUUGCUGUUCUGACGUUACCAACAGAAUAAGCACCGGCUAACUUCGUG
rnacentral:rRNA from 1 species